UACGUAGGGUGCAAGCGUUAAUCGGAAUUACUGGGCGUAAAGCGUGCGCAGGCGAUGAUGUAAGACAGAUGUGAAAUCCCCGGGCUCAACCUGGGACCUGCAUUUGUGACUGCAUCGCUAGAGUACGGUAGAGGGGGAUGGAAUUCCACGUGUAGCAGUGAAAUGCGUAGAGAUGUGGAGGAACACCGAUGGCGAAGGCAGCCCCCUGGGUCAAGAUUGACGCUCAUGCACGAAAGCGUGGGGAGCAAACAGG
rnacentral:rRNA from 1 species